rnacentral:rRNA from 1 species
AGUUUGAUCCUGGUCAGAUUGAACGCUGGCGGUUGUGUUACACAUGCAAGUCAAACGGCGUAUGAUCUAACUUGCUAAAUUGAUGGGGAGUGGGAACGGGUGAGUAAUACAUCGGAACGUGCCCUGUGGAGGGGGAUAUCUAUUCGGAAGAUUAUCUAAUACCGCAGACGACCUGAGGGGGAGAGUGGGGGACCCGAGGCGUCAGGCUAUAUGAGACUCCAUGUAGGAGUAGAUGUUUGGCGGGGUAAAGGCCCACCACCUGGCCAUCUGUAUCUGGCCUGAGAGCACNAUCAUGCACACUGGGACUGAGACACUGCCCAAACUACUACUGGAGGAAGCUGGGGGGAAUUUUUUUGAAUGGGGGCAACCCUGAUGCACCAGUGCCGCGUGUGGGAAGAAGGCCGUCGGGUUGUAAAGCAUUUUUGUCCGGAAAGAAAUCGUCUUACUAAUAUUAUGUGUGGAUGACGCUACCGGAAGAAUAAGUACCGACUAACUACGUGCCUGCAGCCGGCUUAAUACUUACGGGCCGUCCAUCAGUCAGAAUUACUGGUUGUAAAGCUCGCACUGGCGGUUGUGCAGGACCAAUGUCAAGUCCCCGGCCUUAGCUUGAUAAUUGCAUUGGUUACUGCCCGGCAGUGUGUGUCAGAUUGGAGUGGAAUUCCACG